rnacentral:rRNA from 1 species
CAUCAGGUAACAUCAAAUCGUACCCCAAACCGACACAGGUGGUCAGGUAGAGAAUACCAAGGCGCUUGAGAGAACUCGGGUGAAGGAACUAGGCAAAAUGGUGCCGUAACUUCGGGAGAAGGCACGCUGAUAUGUAGGUGAAGCGACUUGCUCGUGGAGCUGAAAUCAGUCGAAGAUACCAGCUGGCUGCAACUGUUUAUUAAAAACACAGCACUGUGCAAACACGAAAGUGGACGUAUACGGUGUGACGC